rnacentral:rRNA from 1 species
UACAGGGGGUGCAAACGUUGCUCGGAAUCAUUGGGCGUAAAGCGCACGUAGGCGGUUCGUUAUGUCGGAUGUGAAAGCCCUUGGCUUAACCGAGGAAGUGCAUCCGAAACUGGCGAGCUAGAGUACGAAAGAGGGUCGUGGAAUUCCCAGUGUAGAGGUGAAAUUCGUAGAUAUUGGGAAGAACACCGGUGGCGAAGGCGGCGACCUGGUCCGAUACUGACGCUGAGGCGCGAAAGCGUGGGGAGCAAACAGG